UACAGAGGUCUCAAGCGUUGUUCGGAUUCAUUGGGCGUAAAGGGCGCGUAGGCGGCGGGGUAAGUCUGGUGUGAAAUCUCGGAGCUCAACUCCGAAAUUGCACUGGAUACUGCUCUGCUUGAGGGUUGGAGAGGAGAUCGGAAUUCACGGUGUAGCAGUGAAAUGCGUAGAUACGUGAGGAAGACCAGUGGCGAAGGCGGAUCUCUGGACAAAUCCUGACGCUGAGGCGCGAAGGCUAGGGGAGCAAACGGG
rnacentral:rRNA from 1 species